UCCCGUGUGGCUCAGUUGGUAGAGCAUGGUGUUUGCAACUCCAGGGUUGUGGGUUCGAUUCCCACCGGGGAC
rnacentral:tRNA from 1 species